GAUGAACGCUGGCGGCGUGCCUAAUACAUGCAAGUCGAGCGAACGGACGAGAAGCUUGCUUCUCUGAUGUUAGCGGCGGACGGGUGAGUAACACGUGUAUAACCUACCUAUAAGACUGGGAUAACUUCGGGAAACCGGAUCUAAUACCGGAUAAUAUUUUGAACCGCAUGGUUCAAAAGUGAAAGACGGUCUUGCUGUCUCUUAUAGAUGGUUCCGCGCUGCAUUAGCUAGUUGGUAAGGUAACGGCUUACCAAGGCAACGAUGCAUAGCCGACCUGAGAGGGUGAUCGGCCACACUGGAACUGAGACACGGACCAGACUCCUACGGGAGGCAGCAGUAGGGAAUCUUCCGCAAUGGGCGAAAGCCUGACGGAGCAACGCCGCGUGAGUGAUGAAGGUCUUCGGAUCGUAAAACUCUGUUAUUAGGGAAGAACAUAUGUGUAAGUAACUGUGCACAUCUUGACGGUACCUAAUCAGAAAGCCACGGCUAACUACGUG
rnacentral:rRNA from 1 species